GACGAACGCUGGCGGCGUGCUUAACACAUGCAAGUCGAACGAUGAAGCCGGAGCUUGCUCUGGUGAAUUAGUGGCGAACGGGUGAGUAACACGUGAGUAACCUGCCCUUGACUCUGGGAUAACUGCGGGAAACUGUAGCUAAUACCGGAUACGACCCUCGGAGGCAUCUCCUGGGGGUGGAAAGAAUUUCGGUCAAGGAUGGACUCGCGGCCUAUCAGCUAGUUGGUGAGGUAAAGGCUCACCAAGGCGACGGCGGGUAGCCGGCCUGAGAGGGUGACCGGCCACACUGGGACUGAGACACAGCCCAGACUCCUACGGGAGGCAGCAGUGGGGAAUAUUGCACAAUGGGCGCAAGCCUGAUGCAGCAACGCCGCGUGAGGGAUGACGGCCUUCGGGUUGUAAACCUCUUUUAGCAGGGAAGAAGCGAAAGUGACGGUACCUGCAGAAAAAGCACCGGCUAACUACGUGCCAGCCGCCGCAGUAA
rnacentral:rRNA from 1 species